GGGCAUGUGGUGUAGUUGGUUAUCACGCUCGCUUAGCAUUUGCAACUUGCGAGAGGGGUCCGGUUCGAUCCCGGACAUGUCCA
rnacentral:tRNA from 1 species